GACGAACGCUGGCGGCGUGCUUAACACAUGCAAGUCGAACGGAAAGGCCCUGCUUUUGUGGGGUGCUCGAGUGGCGAACGGGUGAGUAACACGUGAGUAACCUGCCCUUGACUUUGGGAUAACUUCAGGAAACUGGGGCUAAUACCGGAUAGGAGCUCCUGCUGCAUGGUGGGGGUUGGAAAGUUUCGGCGGUUGGGGAUGGACUCGCGGCUUAUCAGCUUGUUGGUGGGGUAGUGGCUUACCAAGGCUUUGACGGGUAGCCGGCCUGAGAGGGUGACCGGCCACAUUGGGACUGAGAUACGGCCCAGACUCCUACGGGAGGCAGCAGUGGGGAAUAUUGCACAAUGGGCGGAAGCCUGAUGCAGCAACGCCGCGUGCGGGAUGACGGCCUUCGGGUUGUAAACCGCUUUCGCCUGUGACGAAGCGUGAGUGACGGUAAUGGGUAAAGAAGCACCGGCUAACUACGUGUCAGCAGCCGCGGUGAUACGUAGGGUGCGAGCGUUGUCCGGAUUUAUUGGGCGUAAAGGGCUCGUAGGUGGUUGAUCGCGUCGGAAGUGUAAUCUUGGGGCUUAACCCUGAGCGUGCUUUCGAUACGGGUUGACUUGAGGAAGGUAGGGGAGAAUGGAAUUCCUGGUGGAGCGGUGGAAUGCGCAGAUAUCAGGAGGAACACCAGUGGCGAAGGCGGUUCUCUGGGCCUUUCCUGACGCUGAGGAGCGAAAGCGUGGGGAGCGAACAGGCUUAGAUACCCUGGUAGUCCACGCUGUAAACGGUGGGUACUAGGUGUGGGGUCCAUUCCACGGGUUCCGUGCCGUAGCUAACGCUUUAAGUACCCCGCCUGGGGAGUACGGCCGCAAGGCUAAAACUCAAAGGAAUUGACGGGGCCCCGCACAAGCGGCGGAGCAUGCGGAUUAAUUCGAUGCAACGCGUAGAACCUUACCUGGGUUUGACAUGGAUCGGGAGCGCUCAGAGAUGGGUGUGCCUCUUUUGGGGUCGGUUCACAGGUGGUGCAUGGCUGUCGUCAGCUCGUGUCGUGAGAUGUUGGGUUAAGUCCCGCAACGAGCGCAACCCUUGUUCACUGUUGCCAGCACGUUAUGGUGGGGACUCAGUGGAGACCGCCGGGGUCAACUCGGAGGAAGGUGGGGAUGACGUCAAGUCAUCAUGCCCCUUAUGUCCAGGGCUUCACGCAUGCUACAAUGGCUGGUACAGAGAGUGGCGAGCCUGUGAGGGUGAGCGAAUCUCGGAAAGCCGGUCUCAGUUCGGAUUGGGGUCUGCAACUCGACCUCAUGAAGUCGGAGUCGCUAGUAAUCGCAGAUCAGCAACGCUGCGGUGAAUACGUUCCCGGGGCU
rnacentral:rRNA from 1 species